GGAAGGGAAAUUAGACGCCGAGACGAGAAGAAACGAUGACGACAGAAUAAUCAACGGAAGCAGUGGGAAAUGGGAGGAGAAAAUGAUUAGGACGGAAGAGGAGAAGGUCGGGUAGGGAGGGAGGGUAAAACAGAGAGAUGGGGAGGGAGGCCGGAAGUAAUAGCUAAUACAGCGAUUUGGGAAGGGAUUGGAAAACACGGGAAUUUGGGGAUUAGGGGCGUAACCGAUUACGCGCGUAAUACUUAUUACAGCGAACCAAACGCCGGAAUAGGGGCGUAAUGUAAUACGCACGUAAUCGGGGCGUAAUGGAUUGGGUAAUACGGCGAACCAAACACAGUGU
rnacentral:lncRNA from 1 species